GAGCCUGAUGAACCAAAUGAUAAACUGCUACAGCGAAAUGUGUGCAAGUUAUCACUAACAACCGUAAAAUAUUUAACAUGGGACUUUAAGAACUGGAAAAUGGAGAAACAUUCUGAUACGAACAUGGACACGGUCGUAAAGAUCUUGAAAUAUUCUGACAAGACUUAAAACGGAGAUAUUGAAGUGGCUUACAGAAGAACCAUAACUAGAAGAGUUCACAGCUCUUAAACUAAAAGAAAAGUAUAAAUGGCGAAGAAAGAAGUUAGCUUAGAAGGCAAUGAUGGUGGUGGGCGGUUUGUCUUCUUCUGUGACAACUCCUAUAGUUGAAUGGCUCUGACUACUAAGCUAGAGGUCCCGGGUCUGAAUCCCGAUGUUUGCGAGCGGUGCCGGAAGACGGGGCGUUGACCUUGUGUGGCGAGCAUCAACGGGACAAACAAACAGAUGAUUUUGUAUGUGCCAUGUCAUAUACUGAAGCGGGCCGCACAGACCAACAAUAUGUAAACAGCGUAGAAAAGCAAUUAAGCUAUGCAGAAAUUACUACACAGUCAAAGUAUUUGAUGGUAAAUCAUUGUAUUUGAUUGAUGGUAUUUCAGGUACCCUGAGAGGCACUGCAUUGCAAUAGUCAGGGCGUGACGAUCAGGUCAACAUCUGCCUGAAAACAUGCUCUGAAAAAGACACGAAACGUCGGGUUAAAUUUAAUAAUAAUAAAAAUGUAACAUUUACGGAAAAAGUAAUGU